rnacentral:rRNA from 1 species
GAUGAACGCUGGCGGCGUGCCUAAUACAUGCAAGUCGAGCGAACAGACGAGGAGCUUGCUCCUCUGACGUUAGCGGCGGACGGGUGAGUAACACGUGGAUAACCUACCUAUAAGACUGGGAUAACUUCGGGAAACCGGAGCUAAUACCGGAUAAUAUAUUGAACCGCAUGGUUCAAUAGUGAAAGACGGUUUUGCUGUCACUUAUAGAUGGAUCUGCGCCGCAUUAGCUAGUUGGUAAGGUAACGGCUUACCAAGGCAACGAUGCGUAGCCGACCUGAGAGGGUGAUCGGCCACACUGGAACUGAGACACGGUCCAGACUCCUACGGGAGGCAGCAGUAGGGAAUCUUGCGCAAUGGGCGAAAGCCUGACGGAGCAACGCCGCGUGAGUGAUGAAGGUCUUCGGAUCGUAAAACUCUGUUAUUAGGGAAGAACAAAUGUGUAAGUAACUAUGCACGUCUUGACGGUACCUAAUCAGAAAGCCACGGCUAACUACGUG